rnacentral:misc_RNA from 1 species
GUCUAAAACGACCAAGCUAAUAUCUGCUUGAUUCACUUCAUUAAGAG